rnacentral:rRNA from 1 species
AGGAUGAACGCUGGCGGCGUGCCUAAUACAUGCAAGUCGAGCGCCCCUUUAAGAGGUGACAAUCAAUUGAUUGUCGGUUCCUAUGGGGAGCGGCGGACGGCUGAGUAACGCGUGGGAACGUGCCCCAAAGUGAGGGAUAAGCACCGGAAACGGUGUCUAAUACCGCAUAUGAUCUUCGGAUUAAAGCUUUAUGCGCUUUGGGAGCGGCCUGCGUCCUAUUAGAUAGUUGGUGAGGUAAAGGCUCACCAAGUCAACGAUGGGUAGCUGGUCUGAGAGGAUGACCAGCCAGACUGGAACUGAGACACGGUCCAGACUCCUACGGGAGGCAGCAGUGGGGAAUAGUUGGACAAGUGGCGCAAGCCUGAUCCAG